UAAUCUAUCUAGGACAAAUCCUCAUCUAGUAUGGUAGAUCCACACCUAACUAAUUAGAAUCACUUGUUAUCUCAAGCCAAACUACAUCACUUUUCAUUCAUCAAAACUAGAAACUAGAAAGCGUCGUUUCUUCAGCUC
rnacentral:pre_miRNA from 1 species